rnacentral:rRNA from 1 species
CCUACGGGGUGCAGCAGUGAGGAAUAUUGGUCAAUGGGCGGGAGCCUGAACCAGCCAAGCCGCGUGAGGGAAGAAGGUACAGCGUAUCGUAAACCUCUUUUGUCAGGGAACAAAGGCGGGGACUAGUCCCCGGAUGAGGGUACCUGAAGAAAAAGCAUCGGCUAACUCCGUGCCAGCAGCCGCGGUAAUACGGAGGAUGCGAGCGUUAUCCGGAUUUAUUGGGUUUAAAGGGUGCGCAGGCGGCCUGUUAAGUCAGCGGUAAAAGCCCGGGGCUCAACCCCGGCGAGCCGUUGAAACUGGUCUUCUUGAGUGAGCGAGAAGUAUGCGGAAUGCGUGGUGUAGCGGUGAAAUGCAUAGAGAUCACGCAGAACUCCGAUUGCGAAGGCAGCAUACCGGCGCUCAACUGACGCUGAGGCACGAAAGCGUGGGGAUCGAACAGGAUUAGAUACCCUAGUAGUC